rnacentral:rRNA from 1 species
GUGCCUAACACAUGCAAGUCGAACGAAGCUGCGAUGAAGAGGCUUCGGCCAAUGGAUUCGUAGACUUAGUGGCGGACGGGUGAGUAAUGCGUGAGCAACCUGCCCUUCAGAGGGGGACAACAGUUGGAAACGAACUGCUAAUACUGCAUAAUGUUUUCGGAAGGCAUCUUCUGGGAACCAAAGAUUUAUCGCUGAAGGAUGGGCUCACGUCUGAUUAGCUAGUUGGUGAGGUAACGGCUCACCAAGGCUGCGAUCAGUAGCCGGACUGAGAGGUUGAACGGCCACAUUGGGACUGAGAUACGGCCCAGACUCCUACGGGAGGCAGCAGUGGGGAAUAUUGGGCAAUGGGCGCAAAGCCUGACCCAGCAACGCCGCGUGAAGGAAGAAGGCUUUCGGGUUGUAAACUUCUUUUAUGAGGAACGAAGGACGUGACGGUACCUCAUGAAUAAGCCACGGCUAACUACGUGCCAGCAGCCGC